ACCUCACAGAGAAUCCUGACAACGGUUGGGUAGGACAGGCUGCAGGACAGGAGCCAUCUCAGAGCCCUCAGGGCUUUGCCACAGACAGUCUACUUCCUGAGGAGUGAAUGAAUUCAGGAUCAUCAUUCUGAAAUCACACAAAAGAAAUAAGUUCUCAUAUUUGAAAGCAAUGAUGGAAAAGGUAAAGAGAUGGCUAGCAAAAUAUCAGAAGAUCCUAUUUGCAUCAGAUUUCUCCGCAUGAAUGCUCACAGUUCCAGCUGAAACUAAGUUUCUCCAUAACAGGAAAGUGCAAGAGAAGGUGUUGCAGGUGAAAGGCCACAUUUAACAGCUGUGCACCAGUGAUGAAAUGAACCCUUCCAUUUGAAUCUCUGAAAGGAUCAAUAGCACAUGCUACCUGCCUGCAGAAGUACUGAUUUUGACUGACAACCCAGACGCAUUUUCUUUGAAAAGGUUUGAAUGCACUGAACAGAGGGACUGAAAAAACUAUAUAUUCUAGCUGGGAACAUGACCUCCAGGCUGUUUUGCUGGUAUGCUGAAAGCGGCAGUACAUCUGGGUAAUCUUUUCUGCUGCUUCUUUUCAUUCUUUUGUUUAGUUCAUUAAAUAAGA